UGGGGAAUUUUCCGCAAUGGGCGAAAGCCUGACGGAGCAAUACCGCGUGAGGGAAGAAUGCCUAUGGGUUGUAAACCUCUUUUUUCAGGGAGGAAUAAAAUGACGUGUACCUGAAGAAUAAGCAUCGGCUAACUCCGUGCCAGCAGCCGCGGUAAGACGGAGGAUGCAAGUGUUAUCCGGAAUCACUGGGCGUAAAGCGUCUGUAGGUGGUUUAAUAAGUCAACUGUUAAAUCUUGAGGCUCAACUUCAAAAUCGCAGUCGAAACUAUUAGACUAGAGUAUAGUAGGGGUAAAGGGAAUUUCCAGUGGAGCGGUGAAAUGCGUAGAUAUUGGAAAGAACACCGAUGGCGAAAGCACUUUACUGGGCUAUUACUAACACUCAGAGACGAAAGCUAGGGUAGCAAAUGGGAUUAGAUACCCCAGUAGUCCUAGCCGUAAACUAUGGAUACUAGAUGUUGAACAGAUCGACCUGUGCAGUAUCAAAGCUAACGCGUUAAGUAUCCCGCCUGGGAAGUAUGCUCGCAAGAGUG
rnacentral:rRNA from 1 species